rnacentral:rRNA from 1 species
GUUGGGAAUAUUGCGCAAUGGGCGAAAGCCUGACGCAGCGACGCCGCGUGGUCGAAGAAGCCCUUCGGGGUGUAAAGACCUUUUUUAGGGGACGAUUGUGACGGUACCCUAAGAAUAAGAGCCUGCUAACUACGUGCCAGCAGCAGCGGUAAUACGUAGGGCUCGAGCGUUGUCCGGAUUUAUUGGGCGUAAAGCGCAUGUAGGUGGUCUUGUAAGUCGAAUUUUAAAGGCUUUGGCUUAACUAAAGUUUCGAUUUGAUACUGCAAGACUAGAGAAUAGCAGGGGCAAGCGGAACUCCCGGUGUAGCAGUGAAAUGCGUUGAUAUCGGGAAGAACACCAAUGGCGAAGGCAGCUUGCUAGGCUAAUUCUGACACUAAGAUGCGAAAGCGUGGGGAGCGAACGGGAUUAGAUACCCUGGUAGUCC